CAAGCGUCCGCUGGUGUGCGUGCUGUCUGACCGCAUCGAUGUCGACCGUAACGUGUCCAAGCUCUUCUGCACUCACAUCGUGCUCUCGCUGCGUCGCUACGGUCGGCUGGACGCUCUGCAGGACAUCACCAAAGAGUACGUGGCGCAGCUGCGCAGCGCGGCACCGUCCGGCGCCUGCAUUCUGGUGGCGCCGCACGAGAGUGCGCUCGAGCAGAGCCACGAAGGCGAAGCCGUGCGCCUGGCCGAGGCCACCGCGGUGCAGCUGAAGGGAAAGGAGAUCGACGGGCUUGCGUUCCUGCAUGUGGCCCGCACUAGCGCUGCACUCGUCCAACUCGGACCCACGCUCGAGGUUCUGCACGAAACCUACAAGGCCGCCAACCUCUGCCUGGCUCUGGAUCUCCAAAUUCUUGACCCGAGCACUCCAGCCGAAGAAGUCGGAAAAUCUAUUUCUCU